GUGAAUCAUCGAAUCUUUGAACGCAUAUUGCACUCUCUGGUAUUCCGGAGAGUAUGCCUGUUUGAGGGUAAUUAAAAAUAAUAUUUAACCAAUUUUUUUUGGUCAUUGGAAAUGAGCUCUCCGCGUUUAUAGCUUUAGCUUGAUCUAAAUGGUCAAGUCUCAUUUUAGUCGAGAGGCGUAUUAAUAUUAUUUCGCGAAUUCUUCAUUAUGUGACUAUCACGUUUUGAUUCAUACAAAUUUGCUUUGUAUUCGAUCAAUACAAA
rnacentral:misc_RNA from 1 species